rnacentral:rRNA from 1 species
CGGGUGAGUAAUGCUUGGGAACUUGCCUUUGCGAGGGGGAUAACAGUUGGAAACGACUGCUAAUACCGCAUAAUGUCUUCGGACCAAACGGGGCUUCGGCUCCGGCGCAAAGAGAGGCCCAAGUGAGAUUAGCUAGUUGGUAAGGUAACGGCUUACCAAGGCGACGAUCUCUAGCUGUUCUGAGAGGAAGAUCAGCCACACUGGGACUGAGACACGGCCCAGACUCCUACGGGAGGCAGCAGUGGGGAAUAUUGCACAAUGGGGGAAACCCUGAUGCAGCCAUGCCGCGUGUGUGAAGAAGGCCUUCGGGUUGUAAAGCACUUUCAGUUGUGAGGAAAAGUUAGUAGUUAAUACCUGCUAGCCGUGACGUUAACAACAGAAGAAGCACCGGCUAACUCCGUGCCAGCAGCCGCGGUAAUACGGAGGGUGCGAGCGUUAAUCGGAAUUACUGGGCGUAAAGCGCACGCAGGCGGUUUGUUAAGCUAGAUGUGAAAGCCCCGGGCUCAACCUGGGAUGGUCAUUUAGAACUGGCAGACUAGAGUCUUGGAGAGGGGAGNGGAAUUCCAGGUGUAGCGGUGAAAUGCGUAGAUAUCUGGAGGAACAUCAGUGGCGAAGGCGACUCCCUGGCCAAAGACUGACGCUCAUGUGCGAAAGUGUGGGUAGCGAACAG